AAAGAAAAAAGGUGUGUAUCAUCUAAAGACCGGAGAAAAGAGAAAAACAUGGAAGCUGUUAAUUCGAAGGUCAUAGUCAUGUCUGGAAUAAUGAUUCUAUUAGUAUCUUGGCCAACAUUGACCAAUGCACAGGCACACACCCUAUUUACCAAAGGAGACUUGUGUAGGGGGUUCUGCGAAUUUCGAUGUGUCGGUAUUAUUGAGCAUCCGUUAGACUGUAUGAUCGAGUGUGUGGCGAAAUGCAUGGGACACAAAACAGCGGUCGACCAUUGCAAUAUUGGUUGUGUUAUGACCUCGUGCUCGAAUACCAGUCCUGGUGCGAAGAAUGUAAAAGGAUGUGGGGAGUCAUGCGAGGAAGGUUGCAAAACAUCUUAUGUCCAGAAUUAAAAUGCAUGAAAUAGUGUGUGUAUAUAUAUACACACAUAUUAAAGCAUGCAUUGUGUGCCUAUAUGAUCUGUCAGAUAGCAGAGGAAUUCUAGAAUAAAAAUAGGUAAAACUUUGGCAACGUGAAAUAUAUUAUGUUGUCCAGUAUACAGGG